rnacentral:rRNA from 1 species
CCUACGGGCGGCUGCAGUGGGGAAUAUUGCACAAUGGGCGCAAGCCUGAUGCAGCCAUGCCGCGUGUGUGAAGAAGGCCUUCGGCUUGUAAAGCACUUUCAGCGGGGAGGAAGGCGUUAAGGUUAAUAACCUUGGCGAUUGACGUUACCCGCAGAAGGAGCACCGGCUAACUCCGUGCCAGCAGCCGCGGUAAUACGGAGGGUGCAAGCGUUAAUCGGAAUUACUGGGCGUAAGGCGCACGCAGGCGGUCUGUCAAGUCGGAUGUGAAAUCCCCGGGCUCAACCUGGGAACUGCAUUCGAAACUGGCAGGCUAGAGUCUUGUAGAGGGGGGUAGAAUUCCAGGUGUAGCGGUGAAAUGCGUAGAGAUCUGGAGGAAUACCGGUGGCGAAGGCGGCCCCCUGGACAAAGACUGACGCUCAGGUGCGAAAGCGUGGGGAGCAAACAGGAUUAGAUACCCGAGUAGUC